UCCUGUCAUCUGUGACGAAGGACCUGUCUCCUACAGUAUGUUCCCACUAGGAUGCUCGAUGAUCAUCGAUGUUAAAAGCAAAAACAUCGUAACAUCGAUGUUAACUGAAUCGAACAUCGAUGUUAACUCAGUCCUCCCGCAUGACCAAUGCAACUUACGAUUUACGAAACAAAUUAUGUCUUCUAUGAACGCGAAAAGUGGUGAAAAUGUCGAAGAAACCUCUUAGAUCUCAAGCAAGAAAUAUUGUUUUCAAUGUUUAUCAAAGAAUACUUGAUCAACAAGGUGCAGAACAUACACAAUCAUCGAUAUUGAGCCAUUAGCAAGUGUUGACUGGGGUUUCUAAUACUACCAUAAGACAAAUUGUUACUGAAGGCAGAUCUAACAGAGGCGUAUUUAGUACGCCCGGUAAA